CCUACGGGUGGCAGCAGUGGGGAAUAUUGCACAAUGGGCGCAAGCCUGAUGCAGCCAUGCCGCGUGUGUGAAGAAGGCCUUCGGGUUGUAAAGCACUUUCAGCGGGGAGGAAGGCGGUGAGGUUAAUAACCUCAUCGAUUGACGUUACCCGCAGAAGAAGCACCGGCUAACUCCGUGCCAGCAGCCGCGGUAAUACGGAGGGUGCAAGCGUUAAUCGGAAUUACUGGGCGUAAAGCGCACGCAGGCGGUCUGUCAAGUCGGAUGUGAAAUCCCCGGGCUCAACCUAGGAACUGCAUUCGAAACUGGCAGGCUGGAGUCUUGUAGAGGGGGGUAGAAUUCCAGGUGUAGCGGUGAAAUGCGUAGAGAUCUGGAGGAAUACCGGUGGCGAAGGCGGCCCCCUGGACAAAGACUGACGCUCAGGUGCGAAAGCGUGGGGAGCAAACAGGAUUAGAUACCCGAGUAGUC
rnacentral:rRNA from 1 species